AUACGGAGGAUCCAAGCGUUAUCCGGAAUCAUUGGGUUUAAAGGGUCCGUAGGUUGAUAAUUAAGUCAGAGGUGAAAUCUUGCAGCUCAACUGUAAAAUUGCCUUUGAUACUGGUUAUCUUGAGUUAUUAUGAAGUAGUUAGAAUAUGUAGUGUAGCGGUGAAAUGCAUAGAUAUUACAUAGAAUACCAAUUGCGAAGGCAGAUUACUAAUAAUCAACUGACACUGAUGGACGAAAGCGUGGGUAGCGAACAGGAUUAGAUACCCUGGUAGUCCACGCCGUAAACGAUCAUCACUCGCUGUUGGCGAUAUACUGUCAGCGGCCAAGCGAAAGUAUUAAGUGAUGCACCUGGGGAGUACGCCGGCAACGGUGAAACUCAAAGGAAUUGACGGGGGCCCGCACAAGCGGUGGAGCAUGUGGUUUAAUUCGAUGAUACGCGAGGAACCUUACCAGGGCUUAAAUGUAGUAUGACCGGCUUGGAAACAGGCCUUCUCUUCGGAGCAGA
rnacentral:rRNA from 1 species